rnacentral:rRNA from 1 species
GAUGAACGCUGGCGGCGUGCCUAAUACAUGCAAGUCGAGCGAACAGAUAAGGAGCUUGCUCCUUUGACGUUAGCGGCGGACGGGUGAGUAACACGUGGGUAACCUACCUAUAGGACUGGGAUAACUUCGGGAAACCGGAGCUAAUACCGGAUAACAUUUGGAACCGCAUGGUUCUAAAGUGAAAGAUGGUUUUGCUAUCACUUAUAGAUGGACCCGCGCCGUAUUAGCUAGUUGGUAAGGUAACGGCUUACCAAGGCGACGAUACGUAGCCGACCUGAGAGGGUGAUCGGCCACACUGGAACUGAGACACGGUCCAGACUCCUACGGGAGGCAGCAGUAGGGAAUCUUCCGCAAUGGGCGAAAGCCUGACGGAGCAACGCCGCGUGAGUGAUGAAGGGUUUCGGCUCGUAAAACUCUGUUAUUAGGGAAGAACAAACGUGUAAGUAACUGUGCACGUCUUGACGGUACCUAAUCAGAAAGCCACGGCUAACUACGUG